CCGACCAUACAAGGCUUCGAACGGUGCCAUACCAAUACUCGAGUGAUAGCUGUUGUUAUAAGUGAACUCAAUCAAAGGCAAGUGACUAUCCCAAGCUCCACCUUGUUCAAGCACACACACCCUCAACAAAUCUUCCAAUGAUUGAAUUGUCCUCUCCGACUGACCAUCUGUUUGAGGAUGAUAAGCCGAACUCAACCUCAACUUCGAACCCAAGGCGUCCUGUAAACUCUUCCAGAACCUAGAAGUGAACCUCGGAUCUCUAUCCGACACAAUACUUGACGGUACACCAUGAAGCUUCACCACACUGUGAAUAUAAAUCUCUGC
rnacentral:lncRNA from 1 species